GCCGCCAGAGGCCGAGGCCUGCCACCUCCGGCCACCCUCUGCCCCUCUCACCUCCUGCAGCCGGCCCUGGGGGGAGGGGGCGGCAGAGACGGGCGGCGUCUGGGUGGCAAGGCCUACUCCUUGUGGCUCGUUUGGCCCCUCUUAAGGACCAGCCAAGAGCCUGAGCUGCAGUGAUACAGAGGGGGCUCUUUUAGGGCGGUUUGCACCCACCCCAGCUACGGGCAGAGCGCCUUCCAGGGGUGGCCCGGGGUCCUGUACUCACAGGGCUGUUCUUCAUUCGCUCCAUGAGGUCCCGGGCCUGGGCCGGCAUGUCACUGGAGGGGGGAAGAGAAGGGGACAUAAGGGCUGGCUCACGAGGGAGGGCUUAAGCUGUAGGAUUUGGGCCUGGCAAGGAGAUGUUUCAGGAAGAAAAAUGUUAUAUAAAGUUCACUCUUUCAGAAUGCAUUGCAAGGCUUUCCAUUCUCAAGAAAUCUCAACCUGUUUAGAAAAAUCAAAGAUCUGCCCUGGACCUUGAAGCCAUAAUUGAUCCUGACCCUGCCAAGGGCUAAUCUGCGUCUCCCCACCCCCUUCUGCAGGCCUGGUCCUCUGAAGCCACUUCAGGGGGAUUUGCUCGACCUUCCCAUCAGGGACAUUCCCUUAUACUUCAUCCAGCUCUUUCGCUGCAGGAUGAAACUGAACUGAGCCUGUUCAGUUCUUAUUUGGCUGCCUGUUUUAAAAAUAACCUUUUGUAUAUUUGAAAAAAUUCAUCGUCCCAAAUGAUCCCUCAGCUUUUUCCUUUCCAGGCUUCACGACUCCUUUAACCUUUACCUCUAAGUCCCACUCUCUGUUCCUUUAAUCCUUUUGUUAUUCUCCUUGUAGUUCCUUUGGAUUUCCACACCAUUCCCCAUCUCCUCACUUCUCCCACUUGCAACAAAACAGGACGGGGGAGACAAAUACGGACAGGACUAGUUCUUCCUUCACCUCCUGGAUACCUGCCAUGAACGAGGAAUUGAAUGCUUCUGGAUAAGAGACAGAAAAUAAUUCUUCCUGCUUAUGAGGUUGAGGACCUGACAUCGCUUCCUGUGGCUCAGAGGCUCAAAGCGAGCGUGGGGCCCUCCUUACCGCGUCUGAAAGGAACUUUCCCUGUAAACAGGUACCCAUGUCUACUCACCGAGCUCUGGCCCCUCCCACUGCUGCAUUCAGCCCGGCCGUCUCCUCCCGGGUGCCGGCGGAGAAGCCGAAGAUUUUGGGGUUGAACUUCUUCAGAAUGUCUUUGAAGAGGGAAGGAGCAGAGAGCACAGGUGAGACUCUCAUCUCCUCACCAUGGACAGCUCUGGCGUCCACCUGACCCCACGGUCUCCAGUGUCUCUUCCCAUCUCACGGGGCUGCCCACCUGCUCUGCCAAGCACACCUGUUCCUUCACGCCUGCCUCUGACUCUGACCUUCCAGUGGGUGUCUCUUACUCACAGGGUCAGGGCCAAACCCCUUCACCAACAUUCAGAGCUCACCAUGACCUGGUUUCCACUUUCCUUUCCUUGUUCACCGCCUCCUUUCCUGUCCACACAAACCUUCAGGUCUAAACAAGUUGAUCUGAAGCAUGAGGGCCUUGGACCGGCCUACUAACAGCCACUCCAUCCUUUCUGGGAAUGCUGAAACUCCUCCUUUCCAGCCAUUAUGUCUCCAGUUCAUCCUCUAACACCUUUGUCAAUUUCUGCCUCCUCCAUUACGCUUUUUCUAAAGGCCCUAUUUUUUAAAUUAAUGUCUAUUGGAGUAUAGUUGCUUUCUAAAGGCCCUAUCUUAAAAAAAGAGAGUAUUCCUCUUUGAAAAUUACAAAAUUAGUAUGCAUUCACUAUAACCAGUGAAAUGAUACAAAGAUGUUUUCACUACUAAUUUACCCCUACUUUAAUAACCUGCCCCCUGCUCCAGGGUCUACACCCCCUCCCUCCUCACCCCUUACCCUCACAUACACACUACCAGGAUCAAUUAAUGGUUAAGAGCCUGGUGUGUAUCCUUCCUUCCACAGCUUUCCCCACGUUCAUACCAAAAUUA